rnacentral:sRNA from 1 species
UGAAAAUCCCCUUUACUGCGUUCCCAGUGA